AAUGUGGAGUGAGAUGCGGACAGGAGAACAAUAAUGCGGUGUGCGUUGAAGAGUGAGCUUUGUGGAAUAAGCUGUGCAAACAGGAAAACCUCGGCCUGGUGUCUGUGCGUAUGGUGACCAGUAAAUGGUACACGCAGUUUCAAGUCUACUUUGCUCGCAUAAUAGCGAGUAGUGAAUCCACACUGGUUUGCAGCAACAAGCAACGCUGAUGCUGGUGAGAGUGUGCACAGCUAUUAGUCAUCCACACUGGUAUAACUUUAUU